rnacentral:tRNA from 1 species
GGGGAAGUACUCAAGUGGCUGAAGAGGUGCCCCUGCUAAGGGUAUAGGUCGGGUCAAACUGGCGCGAGGGUUCAAAUCCCUCCUUCCCCGCCA